rnacentral:rRNA from 1 species
UACGAAGGGUGCUAGCGUUGCUCGGAAUCACUGGGCGUAAAGGGUGCGUAGGCGGUCUUGUGCGUCGGCGCUGAAAUCACACGGCUCAACCGUGUGGCGCGUGCCGAUACGACGAGACUUGAGGCUCUGAGAGGGUGGCGGAACUCCUGGUGGAGUGGUGAAAUGCGUAGAGAUCAGGAAGAACACCCGUGGCGCAAGCGGCCACCGGGCAGAGUUCUGACGCUGAGGCACGAAAGCGUGGGGAGCGAACCGG